ensembl:miRNA
GCCAAGGACUGAUCCUCUCGGGCAGGGAGUCCAAGGGGACCGCCCGAGAGGAUCCGUCCCUGC